rnacentral:rRNA from 1 species
GAUGAACGCUAGCGAUAGGCUUAACACAUGCAAGUCGAGGGGCAGCAUGGUCUUAGCUUGCUAAGACUGAUGGCGACCGGCGCACGGGUGCGUAACGCGUAUGCAACUUGCCUCACAGAGGGGGAUAACCCGUCGAAAGACGGACUAAUACCGCGUACACUCCAUCUUGGGCAUCCAAGGUAGAGGAAAUGAAAUUCGCUGUGAGAUAGGCAUGCGUCCCAUUAGCUAGUUGGUGAGGUAACGGCUCACCAAGGCGACGAUGGGUAGGGGAACUGAGAGGUUGAACCCCCACACUGGUACUGAGACACGGACCAGACUCCUACGGGAGGCAGCAGUGAGGAAUAUUGGUCAAUGGGCGAGAGCCUGAACCAGCCAAGUCGCGUGAAGGAUGACUGUCUUAUGGAUUGUAAACUUCUUUUACGGGAAUAACAAGAGUCACGUGUGACUCCCUGCAUGUACCGUAUGAAUAAGCAUCGGCUAACUCCGUG